GGGUGGUUAGCUCAGCUGGGAGAGCAACUCGUUUACACCGAGUAGGUCGGGGGUUCGAACCCCUCACCACCCACCA
rnacentral:tRNA from 6 species